UAACGCGUGAGGAACCUGCCUCAAAGAGGGGGACAACAGUUGGAAACGACUGCUAAUACCGCAUAAGCCCACAGCUCGGCAUCGAGCAGAGGGAAAAGGAGUGAUCCGCUUUGAGAUGGCCUCGUGUCCGAUUAGCUAGUUGGUGAGGUAAUGGCCCACCAAGGCGACGAUCGGUAGCCGGACUGAGAGGUUGAACGGCCACAUUGGGACUGAGACACGGCCCAG
rnacentral:rRNA from 1 species